CUUCACUCCAACACCAGCCAUCGCCACAAAAUCAGCUGAUCUCGUCUUCCAGGAUGAUCUACCAAGCAAUUGCAGUUCUGGUGGCCCUGGCCGUGUCACAGGCCCAUCCAAGCAACUAUGGCGGAGGAGGAGGAGGAGGAGGAGGAGGAGCUGUUUAUGCCUCUGGCCCCAUCCCCUACAAUUUCAACUACGCCGUGAACGACGCCUACUCGGGAACCAACUUCGG